GACGAACGCUGGCGGCGUGCUUAACACAUGCAAGUCGAACGAAGUGGCGAACGGGUGAGUAACGCGUAAUCAACCUGCCCUUCAGAGGGGGACAACAGUUGGAAACGACUGCUAAUAGCGCAUAUUGCAGGUGGGGAUUGCGUCUGAUUAGCUAGUUGGAGGGGUAACGGCCGACCAAGGCGAUGAUCAGUAGCCGGUCUGAGAGGAUGAAGGGCCACAUUGGGACUGAGACACGGCCCAGACUCCUACGGGAUGCAGCAGUGGGGAAACUUCCGCAAUGGACGGAAGUCGGACGGAGCAACGCCGCGUGAGUGAUGACGGCCUUCGGGUCGGAAAGCUCUGUUAGGCGGGACGCGGUACCGGAAUAGAAAGCCACGGCUAACUACGUGCCAGCAGCCGCGGUAAUUC
rnacentral:rRNA from 1 species